ensembl:lncRNA novel transcript
AGAAAGGGCUGCUUUCCCUUCAGCGUGCGCCCCUCCCUAAUGAUCACUCAGCCACCCUGAGCAGUGAGUCUCAUUCUUUUCAGUAAAUCCUCUCGCUGCGUGGUGAGAAAACUGAUGCCUGGAGUCUGUGACCUGCCUAGGACCACAGAACUCGGUAGUAGGAAAAAUCGUAUUUUUAAAUCCAGUCCUGAGUGGGAAGAUUUGAGGAAAUAGCUAAUAUUGAGGAGGGGGGUGUUGUUGGGAGUGGCACCACCCCCAUCUCUCCCUGCUCUUCACAGAGAAUUCCGUCUACCAGGAACGGCAGGAAUGCUAUGCGUUCAAUGGGACUCAGCGCGUUGUGGACGGGCUCAUCUACAACCGGGAGGAAUACGUGCAUUUUGACAGCGCAGUGGGGGAGUUCCUAGCAGUGAUGGAGCUGGGGCGGCCCAUAGGCGAGUACUUCAAUAGCCAGAAGGACUUUAUGGAACGGAAGCGAGCCGAGGUGGACAAGGUGUGCAGACACAAGUACGAGCUGAUGGAGCCACUCAUCCGGCAGCGCCGAGGAGACGUAACCAUAACUGCUGUUAGGGGGUGUUGGACGACGAUUCUUUCUGGCUACUUCCUGCUGAAAAGGGGCGUCGUGUCGGGGGGCUGCAGUUGGGGCUCCUCCUGAGGUUGAUCUAAGGCUUCUUGGAAGAAUGGCAUGUCCAUGUGUGGCUUUGUUUGCAGCACCAUUUGAAGUUUGAUUGCUUCUAGGCAAAAAGAGAUAAAUUUUACAAGAAGGUUUAAAAUAUAGGGUUACCAUAUGAGUAUUAAGAUUACCACCUAUAGACUGUAACUAUGGCAGUAGAGUUUGAUACCUGUUACACCAAUGGAUUGUAAUACUGGUUUGUCUCCACUAGAUGUCGCUGUACAUUACCAGAAACGUUAAUAUAAAAGCAUCAUUUCCUUUGAGAAAACAUGUUUCCCCCUUGACUUGCUAUUAGGGCAUAAUUUUUGGUUUAGGCCAUUCUUUAUAACUUAUGAUAUGAUUGGGAGAAAAACGUUAUUGGGUGGCUAAAAUAACUUUGGUGUUAAUCUUGGCAAUUCCUUUCCUUUAAUUAUUAAAUUUCUUAAUUAUUAAAUUCUUUCAUGACUUUCACAGACCCUCUUACAAUGUACUCAACUUUCUGACUUGUCUUAAACAACCAGUCAUUUCCUUUUAGGACAAGAAUUUACUAUACAAGAUCCUUUCUUAUAUAAAAUCCCUUUAUUUGUAACCUUCUUUCCAUAGCUUAGAGUGCACCAUUUACCAAUCUUCAAUAAAAAAGUCCUAUCAAACUUA